GAUUACUAAUAAAACCCCCAAAAUAAAAUAUAAAAAACAAUUCAAAAUGUCUGGAUUUGUAUGGGUGAAUAUGUAUGUUUGACGGAUCUUUAUACAAGAUUAAUAUUAAAUAAAUGGAAUCCAAACUGCGCAAAUUAAAAGAACUACUAUUGACCUCGAGAUAGGUAGAAUCUGACUUGCCCGAAACACGGCUUCAUAUGGAUUAGUCCUACUUACGUACAGCCCAGAAACAAGCAGGAAUCAUCAACACCACCGAUGAAGAAUACAAGUAACUUUCAAAUGCUUUAAACUCCUUACAAACCUGCCUUCCACCAUCUCCCAAACACCAAGUCUUGUUCCGUUCAUGUUUCAUUAUUGUCUUUUAUUUUAUUCCAUAAAAUUCGUUCUUCUUCUCUUUUAUAUAUAUAAUCGUUAUGUGUUUAUAUAUGUUGGAAAAUUGGCUUUGAAUGUUGUAAUUGCAUUUGUUAUAUCAAUAAAAGCAACCAUGUAGUCAUUUAUUUUUGUUAAAGAAAUUUUCUUUCUGACUUUUACUAGACAAAAAAGUCUCAGAUUUGUUUACUCUUGUUUCUCUUAUUUUCUAUAAAAAAAACAUCCAAAUUGUUGCGCAAAAAAAAAAAACAUCCAAAUCCACCGUAACCAAAUCUUACAAUACUAAAAAGGGGAUAUCCUCAAAUUCUAGCUAUGCCACGUUGGUUAAGAAAAUCAACCUAUCAGGAGCUUCCAAAUCGCCACGUCAUCUCUUUGUUACUCGAAACAGGUUUUAAACGGGUCGGUCAAUUCACGUGAGCUCAAAAUAUUAAAAAGAGCCCAAACCUCCUUCCAAGCACUGUUCAAGUCGUCUCUGUCUACUCAACUUCAAGAUCAUCGUUUCCGACCUCUGCAAUCCAACGUUUCUGUUACUCACACUCAUUCAAUUUUGUACUUUAAACUAUCUUAAUAAUAAGAGAUAUUACCCCAUCAAAGCUUUUCACCUCCCCUUCUUUCUGUUCUUAUAUAAACUAAUAAACCCUACAUCAAAGCUUUCAUUGAGGAUCUGCGACCUCCAUACAACCAAAUGAAGAUAUGGCUAUGAAAUCGGCUUAUAUCUCCAGCAAGUCUCCAGACACUGUGAUGCAAGGUUUCAUAUAAUCGUGCUCCACUCUACCUCCCUGACCUCAAACUAGGAUUCACUUAUAGUUCAGGAACUUUUUUGCUAUGAAAAGCAAAGAGAUCUAUUGAGUUGCUGAUCUCGGUUUGGACAUUUGCUUCACUCACAGCUCUGUCCUCUCCGAUCUUGACCACGUGUGCCUCCUAUUGACGCAGACAGGUUUAGGUUCAACUUACAUGAGGUUUUGAAGCCAACUAUAGACUCGGGGGUGACCUCUAUUAUGUCGUUGGCCACAUGAAGCUGCUAAAUGGACAGAUGCUCAUUCAACGCCCGGUCCUUCACGAAGUGGCAACAGCAACCACACAGCGUGUCUUGAUCCAUUUGCAAACUAAGUAGUAUAUUGUCUUCAUCUAUUUCACAUUCUCUGUAUAUAAUAGUAAAGUUUCUAGCUAUGAGUCUAUAACGUAUAUUUGAUGUUCUAAUCAUGGUUACUUUCCAUACUCAUGGUUCUGUUUAUAUUUGUAUGGUUAGUAAUCUGUAUAGAAUAGUUAAAGUUUCUAGAAUCGGUACUUUGACGUUCGGCUCCGUAUGUUUACAGACUCUUCAACUUCUACAUAAAUAUCUCAAUUGUUGCUCUGGUUUAAUUCUGUUUGUAUAAUUUUGAGUCAAAACUCAUACAACUUAUAUAAGACUUUUCCUGGAACACCUUCUACAGGUAAAAUUGUGCUGAUUACUUUGAAAGUUUAUCAUAUAAGUUUUUUUUCGAAAAUUCCAGCUCUGACUAUACAAUGUGUAUUUCUAAUUGAAGCCUUCAUUAGGCCCUUUUUGAUCCAUAAUUAAAAGGUUUGGCAACAGUGGAGAGGGAUCCUUCGUGUCAGCCCAUUACGAAGACGGAAUUUGAUAUCGAGAGAAGAAAAGUUACUAAAGAGGCUAUCAUGGAGUUAAUAUCUAGGGAGAUAACUGAGUACCAUACUCAUCUGCUAAUGAAUUCAAGUUUUAUCUAUCAAAAGUCUUAAUAUAAUACUUGUGUUUGCAUCUCUGAGAAAGCAUUGUGUUACACCCAAUCGCUAACAUUGUCAGUGUUGUGCAUUGUUGUUAAUCAAUUUAGGAGACAGUUGCGCAUCUUGAAGAAAAUAGCGGAAAAAGGGGCCCUGUGGCACCCCUAGAAAGGAAACAUGCCUCUUCCCAGGUAAAUCCGUAUAUUCUUUUUUCUUUUAGUGAUUAUUUGUUUUCACAUGAUCUUAUUUCAUUUAUCUCCUCUCUUACUGACCGGGUAAUAUGCAUUGUUAGCUUAGUUGUAUAUGUACAUUGACAUAAUCAGAGCCUCAUCUACAACCAUCUUGUGUUGAACACUAAUUUCUUUGAGCCUCAUGUCAGCUUAAUUUAUAUUAUGUAUUUUUAUAUUUUGGAACUGAAAAAAUGUAUCUUUACAUUUGUUUUGCUCUAUGGACAUUGGACUGUACGAGGAUCAACUCCAAAUUGCAUAAGUUACUGCUUGGUAGGGCGGAUAACCUUUUGGCUUCUUCUUUGUAAAUAAUAUGUAUGGAGCAAGAAAGGGUUGGUGUUGAUUCCGUCAGUCAUCUUGAAAUCAGCUGGAGACUGAUCUGCGGCAAUGUUAAUUCUCUUGAAAACCCAAUGUUGAUGUCUAGGCGUUAGCUCUUUAAAUGUAAACGACUUUGCAGUUCAUAAUCUGUAACUUUAUAUCAUAGAGAUUUGUCACUUACAUUCUGAAAA